rnacentral:sRNA from 1 species
UAUGGAUGAACUCUACUCCGGCGGCGGG